rnacentral:lncRNA from 1 species
UCCACAUCUCAGCAUCAGAUGUCAUUACGCCCUCUGACCUGGAUUCCGCGCUGACCCCUUUGAAUAGUGGGAUCAAAGACGCGACAGAGAGCAGAAUACUUGUUCCGAGGAACCACGAGACUCCACCGUUAGAUAUCUGAGAAAAAAGGUCUUGGCCCUUGGACAGUUCCACUGCCAUUGCAGCGACAAAGCCUAUCAUGGCAAGCCUGCCAUUGAUCCUCUCUGGUGCGGGUCCGCUAAAUGCGAACAAAUCAAGGAAGUUUGUGCUGACCUGUUAAUCACAGUCAUACGGGCGUUUACAUUAGAAGUGGAAGCAUAAAUGCAAUCACAAAGUCCUUGCUCUACUUAAAUUGUUAAAAUUAAACAUUUCCGAAAUAAAUCCUGUACCUUUGGCUCAGGAGUAGAACCUGACUCUGCUAUCUUCUUGAUCUGGUCACCCUGCAAAUUGAUUCAAAUGUUAACACAAUUAAUCCUAAGAACCAUCACCCAAAGUAUACACACAGGAAGUCGAAAUAGAUUCCAAACUCACCAGCUUGGCCUUGCACUGCACCCGUUUGCUAGCACUGCCACGUAGUCGUGGCACAUACGUCGCAGAAAACAAGUUGCUCACUCGAGACCGGUUUUUCACCAGGCUACUGGCUACUGGAGUUGCAAGGACGGUCUGCAUGACUGUUGAUGUGGCCAUCACUUAAUUAGAAGAAUGUUUAUCACUCGAGCUGUGAUUAAGAAACUUAAUCAAUAUCUAAUCUGUGAAAGCUAUUCUAAUGCUAGAGGCAACGUUCGUAAGGGAUAUCACUACCAGUGAGUUGAAGCUGGAGCUGUUUGCUUUGUAAUGAUAAUUAAUGUAUCUGAUAAUGGUUUGGUAGGCUGUUAUAUAGCCGAUGGGGCAAGAGAGGAGAGGGCGUUUUGCUCCCACGUCAUCUAUAUCUAAUUAAAAAGCUGAUUGGAUCACGUGGCUUCGGGUGUCCUCCACAUGGUCAAGUGGGUUACGUGGCCUCCUCACAGUCACUAGUGGACCCCACCCCAUUUAAGAAUCUGAGGCCAUUGUUGUUCUAGGUUUUUCAGCUGAGCAGCGACCACGGCAUAGUAAUCGAACUGGACUCAGCCACGAUUUUACCGCAUUAAUUUGACACGUUCAAAAUAACACAGCUAAAGUAAAUCGUACUAAUGUAUAAAAUUUUUGCAAUUGGCCGACAUGUUUUUUUUCUUAAAUAUCUUUUUUUAACAUGUGGUUGAUGAUAGAUUGUGUACUUUUAUUGAAUUUUUAUUAAUAUCUAUUGUAUAUUGAUAUUUCACGUCAAGUUUAUUACAACUAAAUGUUUUUUUAGUAAUUCAAAAAUAAUGUUAAAUAAAUUCUAUAAUUAAAAUUUCAAAUAUUUACAUCACAUUAUAACUCAAUCAGAAACUCGAUAAAAAUCAUGUGCAAACCCUCAAUUUUAUUUUAUUUUUUUGCAUUGAUUUAUUUAUUUUUUAGACAAAUCAACUUAUUUAAUUCAUCAUUUUAAAAAAAAAAAUUCUUUUAAAUUUUAGCAAGUCAUUUAACAUUAAUUACUCUAUUAUCUAAUGUCAAUUUACAAUUUAUAUUCUAUAGAUUUGUAAAUGGAGAAAUAUCAAUUUUUUAUUCACAUCUCUCUCCAUAUAUUUGAAUUGAUUAUAGAUUUAUUUCCCAUUAAAACUUCUAAUGAGAAAAAAAAACAAAAAAAAAACACAAAAUAAUGCAUCUUAUGUUUAAUCAAGACACAAAACUCAACAACAAGAAUAUAGAGAGAAAUGACAUUAAUAUUUAAAAUAAAUAGAUAAAUAUUUUGAAGGUAUUUUAUUGUCAUUGCACGGGAGGACCCGGUUUUUUCAGAAGGCUACAAGAUAGCAUUUUCAUAACGUUGCAUUAAAGAAAAUUAUUCAAUUAUUAAUUAGUUACAUGUUUCAAAUUUAAGAUGAUAACUUUGAAUCUAAUUGCAUUUUUAUGUGACCUUCCACCUAAUUUCUUUCCCCUUAUGGAUUCCGAAUCUAAGAAAAGCCUAGACUAUUAGUUGUACUCGAUUGACCACUUCACAAAAUUGCGACAAAAUCCAAAACAAUUUAUGCUUUCCAUUGGUCAUGGUUAUGGCUCUCGGUAAGAGUUGCUUCUACAUUAGAUUUCCACAAGUUCAUUUAUUAAAAAAAGAUCUUUAUAGUUUUUUUGCACUGAUUUCAUUGAACAAGAAGAUAUAUUUUACUUUGUGGAGAACAAUUUAAAAGUAUCGUUUUCGGCGAGUAAAUUAAACAAAUAGAUGGUGAGUAUAAAGCUGGGGAGAAAAUGAUAGGAAUGGAAAAUCAAACCCAAUUAAUUUGCUAAUAUAGAAGGGAAUUUUGUUCGAUCUAAUUUGACAUUAUCAGUAUCAUUUAAACGAUAAUCAAAGGAUCAUGCUUGCAGUCGUUGCUAAUAAAGAAGGAGAAAGAUACAAUGUUAUAACAAGACGUUUAAUAAAACUAACAUGAUUUAUGUCAAAACAGAGAGCACAAAAAAAGGAGACAAUAAAAGGCAGACGAAGUAAAGGAAAAAAAAAAAAGUGUUUUGAGAGAGAAAGAGUGGUAGCAUGGGUUGGUGCUAGGGUUGAGAAAGGGCAAAUAGGAGUAAAUUAAUGCUAUAUUUUUUUCAAAUUUAUAAAAUCAAUCCGAGUUUAUUGAUUUUGACUGAGUUUAUUGAGUCAAAUUUAAUUUUACAAGUUUUCAAGUUUUUAGUUUGAUUUUGCAUAUUUGAUAAAUGUUGACUCGUAAAAUCGUAUGAUUUUACGAGUUAACUCAUGGUGUUAAUAAAAUUGCUUAUGAUUCUUUCGUAUUUUAUAUUUGUUUUUUAUGUUUUAAAUACUUGAUAAUUAAAAUUGUAAGUUUUAUAAAAUUUUAAGCAAAAGUAAGUUUGUGAUUUAUAACACAAUGUAUGUAUUUUAUGUAAAAUCAUUUUUUAAAGAGAAAAUUAUCCUGAGUAUCCUAUAGUUUACUUAAUUUAACACUUUGUUUUUAUUAUUUUAUGAAUUACAUAAAAUAUCAUCCAUCAAUUAAAAAGUUUAAAUCAAUUGAAAUGAUGAAAUUAACCUUGUAUAUAUUAUUUUAUAAAAACAAUUAAACAACAAUGUGAACCUUCUUUUAGACUGGCUAUAACAAACUCAUUUAAUUCAAGGUUAAACCUUAUUUUAAUUGUCUUCCAUGCAACGGAUCUAGGGUUGGUGACUAAAAUAACCAUAAUAUUGCUUUGCUUUCUUCUCUUCUCUUUGAGCUUCUCCUUCCCAUUCUCUUCUUUUUUUCGCCUUCAUCAACUCCCCUUUCACUUGCCUCCAAUUCUUAUAAUUCCAAUUCCAUGGAUUUCAAUUCCAUUAAUUUCCCAUGAAAUUCUUUUACAAAGUAUUUAUCAUUAUUUUUUCUCUCAAGAAAUCAUCAAUUCACUUUAAUUUCUCUCGAAUCCUACAUCCAAGAAACAUAAAAGAACCCAAUUAUGAGAAUCAGAUACUGAGUCGACCCAUAAAGACAAAGACAAAGGCCAUAAACUCACAAAUUAACUCAAUCAGUUGAACUAAGUUUCUUUUCAUCUUGACCCUUUCAAAACCACCUGUAGACUAAGCUAUUCAAUGUUUGAAUGAUUGUUUGGCUUACUUGAACUAUUACGAGAGUGUCAUCACCUAAAUGGAACAUUGAUAAAUCUCUUAGCGGAGCUCAGGCUAGGCAUAAUUUUAUAUUGGCCGUCAGGUCAAAUUACAUUAAAAUAAUUGAUAGAUUUGGGGUUAGUAAAUGAGUGACUCAGUUUUAUACCAAUCAACUGCGUUUUAUUUUAAGCAACAUUUUUUUGCUUUUAGGUCGAGUUUCCUUUUUCUACCGAGCUUGAAUUUGUGUCCAAUGAUAUUGAGGCUUUUAUUGAAUUUCUAAUUUAUUAUGGUAUAAUAGAUCGUUCAGAAUCAAAAUACUCUCUUCAAAAUUAAAAAUUUAGCUAGAUAAUGUGUGGUUUUUUUUUUUUUUUGCAUGUUUAUUUCCAACUUUUAGCCACUAUUUGGUUGUUAGGUUUUUGUUGAUUGUGAUUAAAGUUGGUUUUGAUUUUGAAAUAAUUUUAGCUUAUGUUGUCCAUGGAAGGACAACAAUAAUGAAGCAUGAAAGUGAAUAAAACCUAAAUUUCCAAAAGGUUUAUGGUUUGUUUGGGCCCCAAGAGUUGCAUUGUGAAUUUUAUGGAAUGGAAGUGCUUAAUAAUAAUUUGGCAAAAUAAAAAUGAAUUGAUUAGAUUUUGUAGGCAAGCUAAUGUAAUCUCCACAUAUUUUUCUUAUAAUGGCUAUUGAGUAGUUAAAGAAUUUAUGACAGUAACUUUUAGUGAUAUUUUUAUUCAUUUGAUACAUUACGGAUUCUCUAGUUAUUAAUUAAAAUAUAAUAGUAAACUUGUAAAUACUUAAUUUUUUUUGUUGAUUUUUUCUUAAUGCCAUAUAAAGUAUAGUGAACUUAUAAAGUUCACAAAGUUUUCUAUAAUUUUCAAAAAAAUAAAGGCAUAAUAUAAAAUUGAGUAAACUUCUGGAUGAUUAGGUGAUUUCUCUUUUUUAAAUAAAAUAACAUCAAAUUGAAAAUUUUUAAUUAUUGUUUUAGUUUUUUAUAUUUUCAUAUUAAAAACUUAAUAUUAUUUGAAAUGUCAUCAAUUAAUGAUUUUACCCAUAGUUAUUAAACCUGGAGCGGUGCGUUUGGUUGACUUGGGACCCGGUCGACCUGGUAGCUAGACCGAUUCGGGUAAGUUAAAAGACCAGACUAAGCAAAACCUGGCAAAACCAGGUAGAGAUCCUUUUUUUUUUUCAAAUGUGUUUUUUCAUCUAACCAAAGACCUCUUUUUUAUAUACAUUUUUAGUUGGAUAUUAACCCUUUUCAAAGUUCACUAUAUAAAUAUUAGAAAGAUUUUUUUAUUUUAUUAAUGUUGGAUUUAAAGCCCUUUAAUAUAUAUACUUUAUGUUCACAAGAAAAAAUUAUUUUUCAAUGUGGGGUAAAAAAAACCUUUUGAAGUGAUCUUUUAAACCUUAUUAUUUAUAACAUGUAUAACCUAUAUUUAUAUCGAUUGUUUUUUAAUUAUUUCAUAUGAAAUAUUAAAACUUCAAAUAUUUUUUUUUCAUUUUUCCGGGUUGACCUGAGUCGACCCGCGUAACUCGGGUCAACCCGCUUAACCCAGGACUAGGAUCCAUGGUCAGGUCAAUUUUCGAGUUAAGUUUUGUAACUAUGAUUUUACCUCUUCAGUAAUAUUUUAAAAAUAAUUUUCAAAUGCAAUGUAAUCAUAUUAUCAAAAGGAAAAUAAAUGUAUAAUUGAAAUAGUGACCUUAUAAUUCAGACGAAAAAAAGGUUAAAUCUAGUAAUUAUUUAAAUUGUUUAAAUAUUAUUCAAACUGUACUACCACCACUUAUUCUAUACAACUAGGAUGAUUUAAAACAUUUGUAAAACCACUCUUGUAUUGGCAUACAUUUAUGUUCAUAGAGAUGAACUUAGAAUUUGUUGACAGAAAAGAUCAAAAUGCACAGCCUUGUUGUCGGGUGGCUAUUACAUAAAAAUAACUUCAAAAAUAAUAUAAGUUCAAGGAUGAUUUUGUAAACAUCUCAAACUUUGAGGGCCAGUGCCACCCUUAGCCGCCCCCUAGAUUUAAGAUUUAUCUCUCCACGUGCAAGUGUUUAUUAGGCCUUUUGGCACAUUAUAUAACAUGCAUUUUAUAGGAUGUCUUGGUAUGACAUCUGAUGUCUCAUUAUUUCAACAUCAAAUGUACAAUGUUAAUUUUAACUUUUUUCUCUUUUUAAUUAAUUUAAUUAAAUACCUAAUCUUUAAAUUAACAGUGUCAACUAAAUUGAAUCUCGUAUCUUCAGUGAAAUCCACUACGGCGAAUCAAAAUGCAAAAAGGAAAAAGAAAAAGAAAAAAAAAAGAGGUUUAAAUUUGGCUGCUUUCGUUCUUACUACGCUUAUGCAUGCAGAGUUCUUUCGUAAGCAAAUAAUAAAACUGAAAACAACACAAGGAGGUUUAUGGAGACAGCUACCUGCUGACAUGCUUGUUUGCUGCGGUUACUCUUGAUGCUUCGAAGGAAGUGAUAAUUUUAGACUUUAUUUUGAUUUCUCUUCCUCCUAAAUAUCUCUAUCUUUGUUGACCUGUAGCGGGUGCGGUAUAAUAUAUCUCCUAAAUAAACUUUUUUUGUAAGUGGCCUAAACUGGAUGGGAUUUGCAUUUCAAUCUACCAUUUUCAUAAAGCGUAGUUGGUCAAACAUUUGUAAUCGGUCGCUGCAACAAAGAUCCGUGACUCGUUAGAAGUCCGAAAUAUCUUCCUAUUGAUGCACCGACGGCUUUCAAACGUGGCAUGUUCCUAGCUAGCAUAACAUAAAGAAGGAGAAGCAAAAUCUACACAAGUAUUAUUUGUAUUUUAUAUAUAUGAUUGAAAACAUAUUUUGCUACUGAAAUUACAUUGAUUCAAGUAUCCAUGUUAACAUCCAUGGCAAUAAUACAAAAAACAGGAACUACAGAAGCGUUCUACACGAGACAUACUCGGUGUAGGCCAACGCAACCAAACCCAACAUGGCAAAUCUACCGUUCCACAUCUCUGCAUCAGAUGUCAUGACGCCCUCUGACCUGGAUUCCGCGCUUACCCCUUUGAAUAGUGGGAUCAAAGACGCGACAGAGAGCAGAAUACUUGUUCCGACGAACCACGAGACUCCACCGUUAGAUAUCUGAGAGAAAAGGUCUUGGCCCUUGGACAGUUCCACUGCCAUUGCAGCGACAAAGCCUAUCAUGGCAAGCCUGCCAUUGAUCCUCUCUGGUGCGGGUCCGCUAAAUGCGAACAAAUCAAGGAAGUUUGUGCUAACCUGUUAAUCACAGUCAUACGGGCGUUUACAUUAGAAGUGGAAGCAUAAAUGCAAUCACAAAGUCCUUACUCUACUUAAAUGGUUCAAACUAAACAUUUCCGAAACAAAUCGUGCCGUAUAAUU